UACCCUGUAGAUCCGAAUUUGUGUUGACACUACGUACAAAUUCGUUUCUCGGGCGUAU
rnacentral:pre_miRNA from 1 species